CCUACGGGAGGCUGCAGUGGGGAAUAUUGCACAAUGGGCGCAAGCCUGAUGCAGCCAUGCCGCGUGUGUGAAGAAGGCCUUCGGGUUGUAAAGCACUUUCAGCGGGGAGGAAGGCGUUAAGGUUAAUAACCUUGGCGAUUGACGUUACCCGCAGAAGAAGCACCGGCUAACUCCGCGCCAGCAGCCGCGGUAAUACGGAGGGUGCAAGCGUUAAUCGGAAUUACUGGGCGUAAAGCGCACGCAGGCGGUCUGUCAAGUCGGAUGUGAAAUCCCCGGGCUCAACCUGGGAACUGCAUUCGAAACUGGCAGGCUAGAGUCUUGUAGAGGGGGGUAGAAUUCCAGGUGUAGCGGUGAAAUGCGUAGAGAUCUGGAGGAAUACCGGUGGCGAAGGCGGCCCCCUGGACAAAGACUGACGCUCAGGUGCGAAAGCGUGGGGAGCAAACAGGAUUAGAUACCCGGGUAGUC
rnacentral:rRNA from 1 species